UGUGUCCUGUAUCUGAAAUAGCAUCUUGAAAGAAGAAAAAAAAAUGUCAGUGCUAUCUCCUAAAAUGAAGAUUGAGACUUCAAGAGUCACCCGAAGUUCCCUGGAAGGUCCUUUUCUUUUUGAGAGUAGUUGGAGGAAGGCAGUUUUAGAAACACAAAAAAUAAGGAAAGAAUACACCACAACAUUUGGUCUAGAAGAGCCCAAAGAACAUGUCAAAAUGCCACAUUUACCAAGAUUACCAAGUUGCCAAAAGAAUGUAAGUUCAACUCCAAUGGAGGUUCACAAACAGCUACCACAUGCUAACACGGAGAUGCCUGCGAUCAGACAUUCAAGAUCGGAUCGGCCUCUGAUGACCCACGAAUAAGAGGCGGCUCUCGCCUCCUAUUCCCCGCUGGACGGGGUCCCCCCAGAGAGCCGCAGAAUUCAAUAUCCAGUAACCACCCCCCACGCACACCACAAAGAGGAAGAAUAGCAAGGAUGUAGAAAGAAGAGGAACCAUUUGAACCAUGAAUGUAAAACCUACGGAGCACAGUCAGUUUGCAUCAUUAUCAAGAUGCCAGUGUCCCUGACACUCAGCUCCCUCUUGUCAUGUUCAUGGCCACGGUGUCCUUUGGGUGGAUGGGGUAUGAGUGUAGAGGGCUGCUUGUGGCUAUAGACUUGGUUUCAGUGCACACCAGUCUUGUCACCUCCCUUCAACACAUGCUCAUCUUGACAGAGCUGGAAGCCUGGAAAGCACC
rnacentral:lncRNA from 1 species